rnacentral:rRNA from 1 species
UACGUAGGGGGCAAGCGUUGUCCGGAAUCAUUGGGCGUAAAGGGCGCGUAGGCGGCCUCUGCAAGUCGACUGUGAAAUCUCCGGGCUUAACCCGGAAAGGUCAGCCGAUACUGCAGGGCUAGAGUGCAGAAGGGGCAACUGGAAUUCUCGGUGUAGCGGUGAAAUGCGUAGAUAUCGAGAGGAACACCUGCGGCGAAGGCGGGUUGCUGGGCUGACACUGACGCUGAAGUGCGAAAGCUAGGGGAGCGAACGGG